AUCCAGCUUACAAGUCCUAAAUAGGAUGAAACAAGCGUCCUGGAU
rfam:Schistosoma mattheei strain Denwood, Zambia genome assembly, scaffold: SMTD_scaffold0000123